GAAAUAUAAUAAGUAAUAUGAAUUGCAGAAUUCAGUGAAUUAUCGAAUCUUUGAACGCACAUUGCACCCGCCAGUAUUCUGGCGGGCAUACCUGUUCGAGCGUUAUUUCAACUAUCAAGCCCCCGGGCUUAUGUUAGGGACCUGCGGCCGCCACAGGCCCCGAAAAGCAGUGGCGGGCUCGCUGUCGCACCGAGCGUAGUAGCAAUCACCUCGCUCAGGGCAUACUACAGGUACCGGCCGUUAAACAACCAACUUUAUACUCCCAAAGGUUGACCUCAGAUCAGGUAGGAAUACCCACUGAACUUAA
rnacentral:misc_RNA from 1 species